rnacentral:lncRNA from 1 species
GUUUCCUCUUUAAAGGACUCUAUCAUCUUCCUAAAAUAAUUUUUGAGGUCCAUCUCUUCUUCAUGUUCUGUGUUGGGCUUUUCAGAUCUUGCUGGUGUGGGGUCCCUAGAUUCUGGUGGUGUCAUAUUGGUUUUUCUGUUGUUGAGUGUGUUCUUAAUCUCUCUUCUUCCCAUCCCUUCUUCCAGUGAGUGCAGAUGGGGUCUCUCCCUCUCUCAAGUGGCUGAUGGAGGGGUCAGCCUCUGGCAGCAGCAGGAUUGCAGAGGGUGCCUACAGAUAGAUGGUCAAUGUGAGACUCCUAUGUCACCUCAGAUGGGACUGCAGAUUCAGCCUCUGAUGUGGAAAAUAAAUUUAGUAAGUCCCUUGUGUGUUUAUACAAGUACAUGUACAUAAAUAUAUGUGGUGAUAUAUGAUUUAUUAAAGCUUGCCUGAGCACUCAGAAAGCAAAGUCAGCCAUAGCUAUAGAGGUCAGACAAUGGUAAUAUAUAAUAUAUACCUUUAAUCCCAGAAGCCAGAAGCUAGGAGGUGGUGGUACACACCUUUAAUCCCAGGACUCAGAAUUAAGAGGUAGAUGGAUCUCUGUUAGUUCAAGGCCACAAUGACUACACGAAAUUGAUCCAGUCCUGAAAGAAACAGCUCACACAAAAGUGAUCUCAGCACCUGGGAUCACAUGCCUUUAAUCCCACCACUAGGGAGGUAGAGACAGGAGUGACAAUGGCUGGGCAGAGAAAGGAAUAAAUGGUAGGGGGAGACAGGAACUGAGAGCUUUUGCCUCUGAGGAAUCAUGGAGACAGGAUUGCCAUUUCAGCUGGAUAGAGGUAAGAUCUACUGGCUUGGCUGCUUUGCUUCUCUGAUCUUCAGCUUGAAGCUUGAACCCCAAUAUCUGUCUGUGGAUAUUUUAUUUUUCAUACUACAAGUAUACUAGGAAAAACAGAAUACAAAUGAAACAUAUCUAAAAUCCAUAUUUCCAUUAGAUAUAGCACUUGUCUUAAAAUUUAAAGUAUAGUCUAGUCUUUAGCUAUUCAUCAUCAAU